AAUAAAAUAAUUAUGUUUUUAUUAAUUUAUUAUAAAUUUAUUUUACAUAUAAAUUUUAGUAUAUAAUUUUAAUUAUUUUAAAAAUAAUUAAUUAUAAUAGUAGUAAUUAAUAUUAAAAAUUUAAGAAAUUAAGAUUUAGUAAUAUGAAAAUUAAUAACCAAUUUUGUGCCAGCAGUUGCGGUUAAACAAAAAUUGAAUUAAAUUAUUUCAGUUUAUAAUUAAUAAGUAAAUAAUUAAAAUAAAUAUUAAAUUAUUAGGUGAAAUUUUAAUUUAAUUAAAUUUUAUUUAUAAGUUUAUGAUUUAAUAAAUUUUAAUAUAAACUAGGAUUAGAUACCCUAUUAUUAAAAAUUUAAUUUAUAAUACUAAAAUAGUAAAUAAUAAUUUAUUGAAACUUAAAUAAUAUGGCGGUAUUUUAGUUCAUUUAGAGGAAUCUGUCUAAUAAUUGAUAAUCCACGAAUAAAUUUACUUAAUUUAUAAUUUUGUAUAUCAUUGUUAAAAAAAUAUUUUUUAAUGAGAAUAAUAUUUAAAAAUUUUAAUAUAAAAUUAAUUCAGAUCAAGAUGCAGAGCAUAAUUAAGAAUAUGAUGGAUUACAAUAAAUAUAUUUAAAUGAAUAAUUUUUUUGUAAAUAAAUUUGAAGGUGGAUUUAAAUGUAAUUUUAAUUAAUUUAUUAAAAUGAUUAAAAAUUAAGGUAUGUACAUAUUGCCCGUCACUUUCAUUUAAAAAUUGAAAUAAGUCGUAACAAAGUAGAGGUACUGGAAAGUGUUUCUAGAAAGAU
rnacentral:ncRNA from 2 species